rnacentral:misc_RNA from 2 species
AACGCACAUUGCGCCCGCCAGUAUUCUGGCGGGCAUGCCUGUCUGAGCGUCGUUUCGACCCUCGCGCCCGGCUUCUGUCGGGGGCGGUGUUGGGGAUCGGCCACACCCUUUACUGGGCGGCCGUCCCCUAAAUCCAGUGGCGACCACGCUGUAGCCUCCCCUGCGUAGUACUAAAACCACCUCGCAGGCGGAGAGCGGUGCGGCCCGCCGUAAAACCCCCCAACUUUUACAAGGUCGACCUCAGAUCAGGUAGGAAUACCCGCUGAACUUAA